rnacentral:rRNA from 1 species
UUUCCUACGGGGCGCAGCAGUAGGGAAUCUUCCACAGUGGACGAAAGUCUGAUGGAGCAACGCCGCGUGAGUGAAGAAGGGUUUCGGCUCGUAAAGCUCUGGUGGUAGUGGAGAAAGAUAGAGGUAGUAACUGGCCUUUAUUUGACGGUAAUUACUUAGAAAGUCACGGCUAACUACGUGCCAGCAGCCGCGGUAAUACGUAGGUGGACAGCGUUGUCCGGAUUUAUUGGGCGUAAAGCGAGUGCAGGC